rnacentral:rRNA from 1 species
UACAGAGGGUGCUAGCGUUGUUCGGAAUCAUUGGGCGUAAAGGGCGUGUAGGCGGUUUGUUAAGUCAUGUGUGAAAUCCCUCGGCUCAACCGAGGAAAGACGCAUGAAACUGGCAAGCUAGAGUACCGAAGAGGGGGGUGGAAUUCCCGGUGUAGUGGUGAAAUGCGUAGAUAUCGGGAGGAACACCAGUGGCGAAGGCGGCUACCUGGCCCACUCUUGACGCUGAGGCGCGAAAGCUAGGGGAGCAAACGGG